AAAUUUAUUAUAUUUUUUGACAAAAAUAAACUCUGCAGAUAACAAUGUCAUACAAUACCAAAAAGUUUGGGUUUAAUACAAUUUUUAUAUCUAUACUGAUAUUUAUAUUUAUAUAGGAUCUUGAAACUUAAAAAAAAAGAAACUGAAUAUUGAAAUUGAAAAUCUAUGUUUCUACGUAUGUGAAAUGAACUGUACGAAUAAAUGUCAGCAAGGAUCUGAACUAGGAAGAAUAA
rnacentral:lncRNA from 1 species